rnacentral:rRNA from 1 species
CACGUAGGGGGCGAGCGUUGUCCGGAUUUAUUGGGCGUAAAGAGCUCGUAGGCGGUUUCGUAAGUCGGAUGUGAAAACUCCAGCUCAACUUGGAGACGCCAUUCGAUACUGCGAUGACUUGAGUCCGGUAGGGGAGUGUGGAAUCCUGGUGUAGCGGUGAAAUGCGCAGAUAUCAGGAGGAACACCGGUGGCGAAGGCGGAUCUCUGGGCCACUACUGACGCUGAGAAGCGAAAAGCAUGGGGAGCGAACAGG